rnacentral:rRNA from 1 species
UACGUAGGGUGCAAGCGUUAAUCGGAAUUACUGGGCGUAAAGCGUGCGCAGGCGGUUUUGUAAGUCUGUCGUGAAAGCCCCGGGCUCAACCUGGGAAUUGCGAUGGAGACUGCAAGGCUUGAAUCUGGUAGAGGGGGGUAGAAUUCCACGUGUAGCAGUGAAAUGCGUAGAGAUGUGGAGGAACACCGGUGGCGAAGGCGGCAUCCUGGACCGGUAUUGACGCUGAGGCGCGAAAGCUAGGGUAGCAAACGGG